rnacentral:rRNA from 1 species
UACGAAGGGGGCUAGCGUUGUUCGGAAUUACUGGGCGUAAAGCGCGCGCAGGUGGUCUUUCAAGUCAGUGGUGAAAGCCCGGAGCUCAACUCCGGAAAUGCCAUUGAAACUGUGAGACUUGAGGAUGAGAGAGGUGAGUGGAAUUCCCAGUGUAGAGGUGAAAUUCGUAGAUAUUGGGAAGAACACCGGUGGCGAAGGCGGCUCACUGGCUCAUAUCUGACGCUCAGGCGCGACAGCGUGGGGAGCAAACAGG